rnacentral:lncRNA from 1 species
UGAAUCAGCAGACGGGCAGAGCAGGGAGCACCAGAGCCUGCUGAGGAUGAGGAGUCAGAAUCUCUUACCUUUUGCCCCCUGGCUCAUUCCUAAGGCUAAGGACAGAUAACCUGCAACCAACAAGGGGAAACUGCACACGGACAAGGUCAAACCUGGUGGAGGGCGCAGGGCAGGUAGGAAUGCUGAGCAGACGUGGUCUGUGCUUUGUAAGCAUUCAUGGUGCAGUGGAGCAGAUGCUGGGGUCAGACCUUCCCAUCCUGCAAAGGGUUCCAUAAUGGACCUAUACACUGUGCCAUCCACAGAAGGUAUAGGUCUUAUGUGACAGAUGAGGCUGGGGAGUGGUCAGUCAUGAGGGGCCCUUUCUGCCAGCCUAAGGAUCCUGAAUCUUACAGACAAUGAAGCAGGGGGAUGACAGAGUCAGGUCUGCAUUAAGAACAAUCCUGGCAGCUGUUUGGGAGGCACAAUUGCAGAUGUGAACUGGAACUUAGAAAGAGGCCACUACCAGUCUAGAGACCAUGACACCUGAAUCAGAGCAGUGGCCAUAGAGACAGAAAAGAUGGAUGAAGACAAGAAACAUCGGGGAUAAAGCUCCAAGAGUUCCUAUGUUUUGAAAACGCUGUGAUCCUAAGGCUGUAAAGGGGCUGAGGUCCUUGGAGGAAAGAGGAGGGGAAAUAACUGGAGGCUGAGCAGAGGGAACAGCCAGGGCUGGGGUCUUGGAGUCUGGGCUCUCUAUCUCCCCGACCCAUCAAUCUUGCAGCAUUAAUGCCAGUGGGAUGGCCUGGGUCCAAGCCAGAGGCCAGCUUUAAGGAGGAAGGAAUUGUCUCCGCCCCAAGGAACAGAGAAGAAAAAAUUCAGAGCUUCCAAAAGCCACCAACAAGUCAUCAGCUCUGGCAGUGCAGCCAGGGGUUUUGAAUCUGCCCUGGUGUGAGCCAGUGGGAGGCAGGGCGGGCCCAUUUCCCCCCUCUCUGUACAUCAGAGACUGCAAGAUGAUGAUGAAGGGCAUGAGGAUGACUUUGGCUACAAGUAAGGGUAGACCCUACUGCCAACGGCCUAAAUAAAGCAAAGAGGCAUAUCCUGUCACACCACUGCAAGUCCAGAGCAGCUCCUGGUAUCAUCAAGAAUACAGGCUUUACCAUGCUCUCUGGUCCUUGACUGGUUCCCCUUCCAGCCUCAUGAGGAUGGCUGUCAUCCUCCCCGGGGCUGAGGGUGGCUGCCAGUGUCAAUGGGGAAUCCAUGCUUGCAUGGCAAUGUCCAGUGCGAGACAGCAGGAGAGGACUUCUCUUCCAAUGCAGACCGUACCUUGAACAUCAGAGAGCUUCAAAAAGCAGCCUACCCGAUUGAAAGCCCCGCAGGGUCAGAGCUGCUGCAUGAGGGGCUGUGUGUGCAUGAGGGUGCUUGCUGCUGUCAAAUAUGAAGGGGGACUAGAUGAAGGGAGGGAGGUCUGGAGUGCCCGCUAUGUGUUGGACACAUAGGCCUUGUCAUCAUUCCCUCUCUGCUGAUGAGACAUGCAGCUCCACAGAAGAGCCUUCUGGAGCCACUGCUGAGCAGUGCAGUGUGGGGAGACUCAUCCAGGUUCCAUGCUGUAAACGUUGUUCUUUCACCCCCAGCCCAUCCUGCUCUGUGCCUGGUUGGCCAACUUCUGUGCAUGCAUCACUUUUCCGUUAGGUUUGGCCAGCAGAUGCCUUGGUGGUCUGGCCCAGGCUUGUCUGCCCCCACUUCAAGCUGGGGGCAAGGAGAGUUCUGGAGACCAGAGAGGAGAAGAAGCAGAGGUCCUCCUGUGCAUCCAGGAAUGGGCCAGGAGGGAGGGAGAGGACCGAGGUCACUAGGUGGACACCUCCCAAGUCUGCUCCAAGCCUGAUCUCCCCGUUGAGCACCACACACAGACCUCCAGUGUGCUCCAGAGACCUUCGUAACACGGUCCCUUCCUCCCCUACUCCUUGCCCCAUGCCCUAUCCAUCAGGGAAGGGCCCCAGAUGCCUAGAGUCAGCCCUGACAGUCUCCCUCCCCUGCCUCCAGCCCCUGAGCUUAUGAAGCUCUUGCUGAGGCUCAGUGGUCCCAUUCUCUAAGCUACGCUGGACUCUAGCCUGGAGCCCAAACUGCGUGAUAUGCCCCAGGUCUUCCUCUCCAGCUCUACCCCUGAAGCAAAAUCCUUGUGAUGUUCCGUAAUCCAUCAACCUUUGCUGGCUUCUUGCUCCCUGCUUUAGCCAAUUUCAGAAUGGCCCCCUUGGAAAGGGGAAAUUUCCCACUGGCACCAUCACGGCAUGGGCACUGGAGGCGGCUGCACAGAAACAUUCCUUGGUCAGUCAACACACAUGGAUUGCUGGAUCUCAGCUGUUCAUGAGGUGCCUGGGUUGCUAAAGAAAAGGCUACAGACUUGCAAAAAUGAAUGCAUAUGGCAGUGUGAUGCUGAAUGCAAUUAGUUGUGUCCUCAUGAAGCCGGCUGCCCAGGCUUUGCCUCACUCUACUCUCUCGUCUCCUCUUUGCCUUGCUGCACUGCUUUAUCUUGUGUUGCCUAGCAGCCCUGGCCUCCUGUGGGCAGUGCUGGUUUUGCCCUGCCCAGCUUUGGGGCUAGCACAUCAGCAAUCCCCUCCCUGACUCUCCUAUCCAGAAUAGAAAUCGAUU